rnacentral:rRNA from 1 species
UACAGAGGUCUCAACCGUUGUUCGGAUUCAUUGGGCGUAAAGGGUGCGUAGGCGGUCGCGCAAGUCGGAUGUGAAAUCUCAGGGCUCAACCCUGAAACUGCAUUCGAUACUGCGUGGCUAGAGUACUGGAGAGAAGACUGGAAUUUACGGUGUAGCAGUGAAAUGCGUAGAUAUCGUAAGGAAGACCAGUGGCGAAGGCGGCUCUCUGGACCGAGACUGACGCUGAGGCGCGAAAGCGUGGGGAGCAAACAGG